AGUGAACGCUGGCGGUAGGCCUAACACAUGCAAGUCGAACGGCAGCACAGUAAGAGCUUGCUCUUACGGGUGGCGAGUGGCGGACGGGUGAGGAAUACAUCGGAAUCUACUUUUUCGUGGGGGAUAACGUAGGGAAACUUACGCUAAUACCGCAUACGACCUACGGGUGAAAGCAGGGGAUCUUCGGACCUUGCGCGUUUGAAUGAGCCGAUGUCGGAUUAGCUAGUUGGCGGGGUAAAGGCCCACCAAGGCGACGAUCCGUAGCUGGUCUGAGAGGAUGACCAGCCACACUGGAACUGAGACACGGUCCAGACUCCUACGGGAGGCAGCAGUGGGGAAUAUUGGACAAUGGGCGCAAGCCUGAUCCAGCAAUACCGCGUGGGUGAAGAAGGCCUUCGGGUUGUAAAGCCCUUUUGUUGGGAAAGAAAAGCAGCAGGUUAAUACCCCGCUGUUCUGACGGUACCCAAAGAAUAAGCACCGGCUAACUUCGUG
rnacentral:rRNA from 1 species